AAUCACAGCUGGCAGUAGGCACAGACUGGCAGGACUGGAGACUGGAGUGGAGACCAGUUGAGGAGGAGGCAGGAGCACCGAGCAGAGAGAAGAGGACCGGCCCCCUCCACCGCCUGAGUCCACCUCCCUCUGCUGCUUCUCCAACCUGGUGGCUGG